CUUGGGCCUGCUUUGUUUCAGCUUCCGAGCUGUUAGCUGCCUUCUUCAACUGCUCCUGUCUGCCCUCCAGGCAGCAGAGAAAAGUAAAACCUAGUGUAAGCUGGUGCGGCUGAAGUAAGGUAUUUUUUUUUACAGUGUGCUGACUUAAAACUGACCUUCUGAAGGCUUUUGGAGUCUGAAAUGUGGUCUGCGGAUGUCAUGUUCGACCCGUCAGUGAGCUGCAGUGAGAAGAACAUAGUGACUCAGAAGGGACUCCUGGAAGUUCACUUGCAGGAUUAACAUGAAACCUCCUGAAGUGUCCAUCAUGCAUACCUGUUCCCCCUUCUGCAUCUUGGCAUGGAUCACCUCGAGACAGCUGAAAACCCCCUUUGCAGUAGCCUCACUGCUCUGACCUCUGCUCUCCUACAGCAGCUCUAAGGAAUAUCUUCAGUAAGGCGCAGAACACUGCUGUGUAACUUACCUCAGCUGAAGGCACCCACAUAGAAAAUGUUUUUGAAAUAUUACCCUGUUUCCUGAAUCCAGGCUGCUCUGACUGCCUGCCAGCUCCCAGAUUAAAUUGUGGGAGCCAAGAAAACAGCAUUAACUGAACAACCUCAAGACAGCAGAAGUUGCCAGGUUGAGAAACCCUCUGAUGCUGGGAAAUAAAGCAAGCGUCUCUCCACACUUCAAGGCUGUGACCUGUGCUGGCUUUCAACCAUGGAAGCCCACACAGCCCUGUGGCUGAGGGAGGACCAUGUGAAGCAACAUUCUGGGAAGCAGAAACAGGAAAGCAAGAGACCACGAGUGGAAGCACUACACGUGCUGAUUGCAACCAGGCUCUGCAGCUGAAUUAAGAAGUAACUCCCUCCCCGGAGGAGCUAUUUUAAAAGCUGAAAGCUAAGAACUUAAGUACAAAGGCUUUUGUGUUUUUAUUGACAUUGUAAGAAAGUUUGUUUUUUUGUUACAAAAGAGCUAAGUGGUUCUGAAAGCAGAAGUACAGUUCGUAUGUACACAGUGCUACAGACCCUUCCGAUCAACCUAAGGCUUGAGAAACAUCAGAUCGUAACUGCAGGUUUAUCAAAUGAAGACCACUAAGGCCCGUUACAGCCAAACACUAUUCCUACCGUACGUAAAUGUAUGUACACAUUUUCUUUUU